CUUAGGCAGUGCCGCGCCGCACGGCCCGCGCCGGUUUCCAAGGUGAAGGAGGAGGAGCCUCUGAGGGAAAGUUUCCACAGAAACUUGAGCUGGGCGCAGUGUAGCACUCGCGCCCUUGGGGGCUAGCGUUUGGCCGGAGCUACACACUCUUUACUCACGCACGCACACCGCCGUACACAGCACAAUCGUUCACCGUCCCGCCAAAGGCUCGUCUCUCGGGUUCUGCCUAGUGGAAGGAGUCGGACAACGCCGCACGUCACGGGCGUUUCGGAUUUCUUGCUUCCCAAAGGUUUGACGGCGGCCACCGGCGCCCCGGCCCAGCUCUGCUUUCCUUUGCUGACUCCUUCCUUUAGCUGUCUACCACCACUGCUGCGCUUGUGGAUGACUGCAGGAACACCGGGUACUUGCCACAAGUAUCUCUCCAGAUUCAUCAGCCUUUCACCUGUGACAAGCUCAGUCAAGAAGUGGCUCCUAAGUAAAAGCUGGGGAAGAACAAGGAAGAUAGAGCUCAGAGUAGAAAGCUGUGAAGUUCUGCACAACAGGUCCCCUUGGCCUGCUCUAACAGUUGGAAGGUGGGGGAAGCAUUCAUUUACUCAACAAAUAUAUACUGAGUGCCUUUUGCAUGCUAGGCACGCUUCUAGGGGUUGAGGACACAGCAGAGAGCACAAACAACAAUUCCAGCCCUCGUGGAGCUUACCUCUUCCACGUGGGAAAGACAGAUGGUAAAUGUAUAAGGACAAUAUAUGGACUGCUGUAUGAUUAGAAAUGCUAUGGAGAGGCUAGGAGUGCUGUCUCAUGCCUGUAAUCCCGCAGUUUGGGAGGCCAAAGGAGGAGGAUCACUUGAGGCCAGAAGUUGGAGACCCAACCUGGGCAACAUAACAGGCAUGGUAGCUCAUGUGGAAGCUUCCCGAGGCCCUCACCCAGAAGCAGAUGCUGGAGCCAUGCUUGUACAGCUUGCAGAACUAAAGCCCAGCUGGCUUGGUUCCAUGAAUCUUUGCCCUUCUUUCCAUCCACUUCUUCCUGCUUGGACAUUGGUUACCUGGAGAAGCAGAAGCCAUUUUAAGAUGAUGAAAGCAAAAGUUAAAUGUAUGAGAUGAUGGUGCAGAAAGCCAAAAGGGGCCUCCAGAACACUGAGCUUUGUGGAGUCGUGUACCAUAGCUGUAUUGCCGACCUCUGAACUUCCUGCUGAGAUAAAAAACAAUCCUUAUGUGUUUAUACUACUUUUAUUUCAGUUUCUUUUAAGUAUAGCAAACACAUUCCAAAUAAUAUGCAUCUGAAGUUUUUGGUUUUGUUUUUAAAUUUUUUUUUUAGGGAUGGGUUCUGGCUGCGUAGUGGCUAGAGUGUAGUGGCUA
rnacentral:lncRNA from 1 species